AAAUAUCGAUAUGAGAAAUUGGUGAACAAGUGGCAAGUAUCCUAAACAUUCACCUCAAUUUCCCUUCCAAAAAGCUCUCCCCUCCAUUCGCUCUCUCUCUCUAACAAAAACAAAAGAAAAUGGUAACCUCUCUAUCCGGAUAACAUACUUUCCAUUUCCUCACACAACAAAAUCACUCUCUCUCUCAACUACACACAGGAUUUUGAAGCAUGGUCGGGUGGAAUCGGUCCAUCAGGCGACAUAACUCUCCCGAGCGAAGACCACAACCACCCGAAACCGCCAACGCCGCCCUGAAGGCCGCCGGCAAGCCCUCCGCCUUCUUCACCUUCCGGCAGCUCAACGCCCUGGCCGUGGCGGUAGUCCUCUCGGCGAGCGGCAUGGUGAGCCCCGAGGACUUGGCCUUCGUCCUCUUCUCCCUCAUCUACAUCUACUUCAUCGGCAAAGUCGCCUUCCCCCCGACCUCCGCCCACGCGGAGCCCCCCGUCUUCGGCGAGAGCAACAAGCUCCUCNCUUCUGUGUUCUAUACUACAUAAAUCUGAGUUAAAUACUUGUUUUCAUUUAUUGCGUUGCAGUGAGCCUUAUAAAACUCAAUUUAUGCAGGAUGGAAAGAAGCUAUCUCAGGAGAUCAUGUAAAAUUAGUGCUUUCAUCGGGGCAUGAACCUCCUGGACGCCCUGACGCUCAGCAUGCAUCAGAUCCUCUCAGAAGCAAUGCUCCUAACCAUGGUGAGAACCAGUUUGGCAGAACCAUUCAAGUUCACGCUGCUAGAAAGCUGGACAAGAAUGUGAAAUUCAAAUACAUACCGAAACAAAAAACUAUUGCGUAGGUAAAUUUGGUGAUUCAGAAUUGUUUAGUUUAGGAAAUUGCCCUCAGUUUCUCAGCAGAGGUUCCAGUUUUACAGUGGUCUUCUGUCGGACAAGUGAAGGAAUUUUUCUUGAGGAAUCCCUUUGUUUUUUUUAGUUUAAUAUUUUUGAGCAGUGGUGAGCUUGUGAGGUGGUCGAUGGUUUAAGUUCGAGGUUGGAUCUUGGAUUUUGCUGCACCUGUAAAGUUGUUGUUGGGUGGGGGGGGGGAUCCCAUCGAUAUUUUUUUUUUUUGUUAAUUACAAACUUUUUGGGGUUCGCUUACUUGGUAAAUGUAUGACAGAUUUUAGCUGAAAAUUAUAGUUUUUUGAUUAAUAAGAAUUGAACUUCACAUUUAGUGUUUCGUUAGCGCUAUACGACGGUGAAUGUGGAUUAGCAAUUUAUGAAACAAUAUUUAGCAUAUGAUGUGUUAAACUAGAGGUGAGGUUAGUGGUUCUAGUAUUUUUCUGAACGAUAAUUCUCUUUGUGUAAGAGGGUCUAUGACUAUUUUGGUUGGCCAUCGUCCACUUUAUUUUAGACCAUUUAAUUGUAAGAGAAUGUUAAACUAAGGAGAUGAACUGGCACGCUGAUAUUGCUCUUUUGGAUUUGAAUUGAUCAAUCACGUGGUCUUUCUUCUCAAAAAGAAAAAAAAAGGAUGAAUUAUCUAAGGUCUUUAAUCGGUCUCUAACUUGUUUUUCUUUUUAUUGAAAACCAAAACUUGGGGUUUUUUUAUGCCCUAAGCCACCCCAAUGGACAUUACUAUUUUGCUUUGCUUACCUUACAUCUUACUCCUAGUACAGUAUUGAUUACAUGAAUUGAAAUGAUGCAAUACAAUAAUGACAUGACAUAGCAUUUUACUCAAAAAUAUGUAAAAUAUUUUUCGUGAACAUUAAUAAGCUCACUAGAUCACAGCUCAGUUGAUAAGACGCAUUCCUUCAAACCAUAGAUUGGAACUUUGAGUUGUAAUAAGAAAAAAAAAAUUAUUAUUGAAUAUCUUUUGAGAAAAGAGAAAAAAGAAAAAAAGUUAGUAAUAGUAGUACUCAGCAUGUGACAAUAGUAUUGCUUGGGUUAAAACACAGGAAUCGGAUUGAAAAAUAUCGAUAUGAGAAAUUGGUGAACAAGUGGCAAGUAUACUAAACAUUCACCUCAAUUUCCCUUCCAAAAAGCUCUCCCCUCCAUUCGCUCUCCCUCUCCCUCUCUCUAACAAAAAGAAAAGAAAAUGGUAUCCUCUCUUUCCGGAUAACAUACUUUCCAUUUCCUCACACAACAAAAUCACUCUCUCUCUCAACUACACACAGGAUUUUGAAGCAUGUCGGGUGGAAUCGGUCCAUCAGGCGACAUAACUCUCCCGAGCGAAGACCACAACCACCCCGAAACCGCCAACGCCGCCCUGAAGGCCGCCGGCAAGCCCUCCGCCUUCUUCACCUUCCGGCAGCUCAACGCCCUGGCCGUGGCGGUAGUCCUCUCGGCAAGCGGCAUGGUGAGCCCCGAGGACUUGGCCUUCGUCCUCUUCUCCCUCAUCUACAUCUACUUCAUCGGCAAAGUCGCCUUCCCCCCGACCUCCGCCCACGCGGAGCCCCCCGUCUUCGGCGAGAGCAACAAGCUCCUCAGCCUCUACGUGGCGGCGGCGGCCGUGAUCGGGCUGUUCCUCCCGAUCGCCUACAUCUUCGAGGGCGUCUUCGAGGGGGACAAGGAGGGGAUCAAGGCAG
rnacentral:lncRNA from 1 species